ACUCCUGAUACUGGUGAGCCACUGAACCAACACCGGCCACUGACUACCUCCAGAUUUCUUUUUAUUUGGAAACUAUGCAAACUGUUGGAAAAAACUGGAAUUGACUGGCUGUGUUUGGUUUGGACAACUCAUCGAAAUGAGAGGGAGCCCAGCACGAGUUCUGCUUGAGUGAUGUCUGAAAAUCUGGCCUCUCAGUCUACCUUAAAAGCCUACCUAUUUGGCUUUCACUAGAGUUCAGAUACAUAAAACAAAUAUCUUUGCUUUGGCUUCCCUUGAGUCAUAUCAAUCUACACCUCAUCAAGAAUAUGAAGUUUGGAAGAACAAAGAAGCAAUUGAGCAUCCUAAACUCAACGUAGGGCAAGUAACAUGGACAUUGAUACACCAAGUUCCUUCUUGUUUUUCCUUGAAAGUUGGCUUGAUGAAUGUAUUCUGCAGGGAUUUUAAAGGUGUGGAAAUGAAGCAGACAUCAAGGACUGCUGCAGUUUACUGGGGGUCCACUCCAGACCUUAGUUGCUUCAGUUUUUCCCUGUACCUGGAGGUAUCGUCAGUGAAGCCUGCAAAACAGCAAAGAUGGCAGCCUGCUCCUUCCUCUGGAAGCUCCAUCCCAGGGAUGCACUGACCUGUUGCCAGAAGGAACAUGCCUGUAGGAGGUGGCUGGAGACCCCUGCUGGGAGGUCCCACCCACUCGGGAGGAAUGGGAUCAGGGACCCACCCCAAGAAGCCCUCUGGCU
rnacentral:lncRNA from 1 species